UACAGAGGUGGCAAGCGUUGUUCGGAAUUACUGGGCGUAAAGGGCGCGUAGGCGGCCAUCUAAGUCAGACGUGAAAUCCCCUGGCUUAACCUGGGAACUGCGUCUGAUACUGGAAGGCUUGAGUAUGGGAGAGGGAUGUAGAAUUCCAGGUGUAGCGGUGAAAUGCGUAGAUAUCUGGAGGAAUACCGGUGGCGAAGGCGGCAUCCUGGACCAUUACUGACGCUGAGGCGCGAAAGCUAGGGGAGCAAACGGG
rnacentral:rRNA from 1 species